rnacentral:lncRNA from 1 species
UACUUACCUAAGGUACACUAGAUCCGGGUGUAGGAUCUUUCACUCAAGCAUAAAAUACCCAAGCAAUCCCUUAAAAGUAAAUUAGACAAUUCAAAUAAGUGAUCUUGUUUUUUUAAGGCAACCUCUCUUUUUAAGUAGUCCCCAGCAGAGUCGCCAAUUCUGUCAUACGGUGAACUGACUUUGUGUGUUUUUGCUUUGGAAAACAAAUGUCGCGGAUAGCAAGAGUCGCCACCGACUUUUCUUU